rnacentral:tRNA from 1 species
GUUGGUAUAGCUCAGUGGAGAGCAUAUGCUUAGUAUGCACGAGGUCCUGGGUUCAAUCCCUAGUACCUCCA